UCUUCCAUUGGCUGCUCUCCAGCACACAGGCAAACGCAUCCACCCUUUUCCAUAGAACUCUAUAAUCUUCAUCAGGAUCCACUCAACCCUCCUACUAGUGUUUGUUUCUGUUGCUGUUACUGCUGUUACUUUCUCUUGGGGCUGCUGCUGCAGACUACAUCAAUGAAAAGGCAGAAGGCUCCUUCUCAUCUAAACAGCAAAUGAAGUCAUUUUGCUCUUCCCACUUUUUAAAAAAUGGUUGGGCAAGAAAGGCAAAACAGCAUUACUCACAGGAGAUAUUAUUUCUGCAAUAAUGUAGGGAAAUCAGCUUUUUCUUAUGAAUCUAAGUCAACCAAGGAAAAUGUCAAAAUUUACCUGUGAUUUUGGCAGGCAUUUCUGAAUACUAACUGUGUGGAAUUGUUCUGUGUUUUCCCCUUUUGAAAAGGUCUUCUCUUCAGCAUUUAACCAAAUGAGGAGAGGAAUCAGAUUUAUUUAUGGAACUCCCAGUGGCUCCUAUUUUUUUUAAAUCAUUAUUACAUCUUAAAUAGCUGCUGUGUGUAUUAGCCUCUAUCUUUUUCUGUCUCUUAAGAAGCACUUUAUUUACAAUAAGCUGGAGAGGUGCCUCUUGCACAGGGAAAAUGAUACUUUGAAGCAAUUCUUCAUUCCAUCAAGAGCUUAUUGUGUAACUAACUGCAGACCAUUACAAAACUCAGGGCCUAAAUAAAUACCUGCUCUACAGACUGGGACUGAGUUUUGCCAUCUCCUGAAACCAAUCCAUUAUGAAAGAUUGAACUGUUCGUAGCUGUGGAGAAAUAUUAGGUCUUCACUGACAGAAGCCAUGGGAAUCUUGAGAGAAAAUACAUUACUAGUCAUGUUCUAAAGAGGUCAGAAGUAAGAACUGUUAGUUGGAGACACAAUAACAGAUCAUCUCUUUGAGGAAAUGAAGGGAGAUGUAUUAAUAGAUACACUCUAAAAAGAAGGUGAAAUAUAAUGUUUACAUUAUUCAUUAGCAGUAAAAAUAUGAGAAAAUUUGGCAAAUUUUAGUUUUUUGUUUAAAAGCUAUUCAUAAAAUAAAUGUGCUUCUACAUUUGUAUUAUCACAUAUCUGUUUUACUCAGAAAUUUUAUGGUGUUCUGUCUCAGAAAUUUGACUGAGAUUACUUUCAUUUAUGAAGUAUUUAUAAGCAACACCCCAAGGUUUAACACUGCAUGGCUCUUUCCACACAGAUGUCACUCUGGCUGAUGCUUCUGUGGAGUUUACAAUUCAAUAGUUCUGUCUCCGUGUCUCUCUGCCAGACAAAAACUGCAAAAAUUAUGGAAAUAUGAGCUUUUAUGAUGCAUUUCUAAAUGAGUGAAGAAACAGCAGACUUACAGAAAAUAAUCAUCAAUAAAGAAAGUUUCCAGAAAUAAAA